AUGGCAGGUCGAGUCACUGCAAUGCACGUUGAAGUAUGGUCAUUCCAUCCGCACCGCUUGCAUGUGACUGCAAUUAGUGACAUGUUCGCUUAAAGUAAUCAGUAUAGUGUGUUUUCGUGCUGAAUAAACCAACAAUGCUGUGUGUUUAGCUGUACUUUCGAAGUCAAGAAGAGAGGGAUGCAGUAAGAAGAAGAAUAUGGCUGAUGAACAUCUGCAGAGCUAACUGGCAGAACACAAAGGCAACUGCAUUGUGUGAAAUGGGAGACAGUGCCUUGUCCCUCAUCAAGUUUCUCCAGCUUUUGGCUGUUGGCUGAAGGGGUGAAGUGCUCUGUCUGUCGGGAGGAAAUGCGAUUGACGAAAGUUCCGGUGUUUUGGACCAUGGAUAGCUACAUGUGGAGGUGCCGUAGCGAUAACCUAUGGUGCUCUAUAAGGUGUACUUUUGAAGCCAAGAAGAGAGGGAAGCAGCAAUAAGAAGAAUAUGGCUGAUGAACAUCUGCAGAGCAAACAGCAUUGUGUUGAGUCACCUGAACACGGAAAUGAAUACAAAGUAUGAGUUAUGUAUACUUAAAAGAAGAGUCAUGUACUGUACAAUUUUAAAUACUAAAUACCUAUUCACGUGCUCAACCACAGACAUGCACAAUACUUCAAGACUUACUCAGACAUAAUGGUGUGUUUUACUGUAUAUGCUUAGUAUUUUGAAAUAGUGUUUCUGCUGUAUGUUCUUUGUAUCUAUCAGUUUCUAAAUAUCAUAUUUGUUUACAAAGUAUGUCAGUUUAUUGUCAUGUAUUAUG